UGAGGAAUAUUGGUCAAUGGGCGCAAGCCUGAACCAGCCAUCCCGCGUGAAGGAAGAAUGCGCUACGCGUUGUAAACUUCUUUUCCAGGGGGAGAAUUUUCCUGUCGAGACAGGGAUUGACGGUACCCUGGGAAUAAGCAUCGGCUAACUCCGUGCCAGCAGCCGCGGUACUACGGAGGAUGCGAGCGUUAUCCGGAUUUAUUGGGUUUAAAGGGUGCGUAGGCGGAUUGAUAAGUCAGUGGUGAAAUUCUGCAGCUUAACUGUAGACUUGCCGUCGAUACUGGUAGUCUUGAGUGUGGACGAGGCAGGCGGAAUGUGUAAUGUAGCGGUGAAAGGCUUAGAUAUGAGACAGAACACCGAUUGCGAAGGCAGCUUGCUGGGUCAUUACUGACGAUGAUGCACGAAAGCGUGGGGAU
rnacentral:rRNA from 1 species